rnacentral:rRNA from 1 species
CAGUAGCCGCGGGAAAACGGAGGAUCCGAGCGUUAUCCGGAAUUAUUGGGUUUAAAGGGUGCGUAGGCGGAUAGAUAAGUCAGUGGUGAAAGACGGUGGCUCAACCAUCGCAGUGCCGUUGAUACUGUUUAUCUUGAAUAUGGAUGAGGUAGGCGGAAUGUGGCAAGUAGCGGUGAAAUGCAUAGAUAUGCCACAGAACACCGAUUGCGAAGGCAGCUUACCAAGGCAAAAUUGACGCUGAGGCACGAAAGCGUGGGGAUCGAACAGGAUUAGAUACCCCGGUAGUCCCUGUCUCUUAUAC